rnacentral:lncRNA from 1 species
AGACUUCUGACGCUAGAAAAUUCAAGUUGUUUCAUCAUCUGAGCAUGCUCGCUCAGCCAAUUUUCGUGAUAGGUGGAUCUGAAGCUGGGAGUUUUGACCAUCGGAAUUCACAUCGUCUUCUUGCAUAGCUUGGAUCUACUCCUCGAGCCUUUUGACCUUCUCAUAUAGAUUACCUACAACAUCCUUGUUCCACCAAGACAAUGUGAUUCUCGUUUUUCUUAAUAGCUUGAAGAUCUUCUUAGCCUUAGAGCCAUCAUAAUUUCCUCUCCAAGCCUGC